GCAGCCGCCGCGGGAUCCGGCCGCUCCCGGCCUCUCCGCCCGCUGUGGGAAGCCAUCGCUGAGGCCGGCAACCGCGGGAGUCACUGGGGAGCUGUCUUCCAAGAAGAAACAUUAUUUUUCCCGUCUUACCUGUGUGGUUGGGUCUUUGGUUCAUUGGCAUAAUCUCCAUUAAAAGAAGUGUCAGGUAAAAAGUGGCUGCCAAAUAACAUUAUGGGAGAGAAUGUAAAGAAAAAUCUUGUCAGCAGAAACAACCACAUCAGGAGGACAGUCAAAACCCCUUAAAUUAACCAAAGCAGUGAUAAACAGAGCACUAUAUUUAGCAUCAUUCUCAGAUCCAUACUACCUGGCACGGAAUUUUGAAGGUGUUGGAAUAACAAGGUAUAGAAUUCUACUUAAGAAAAAAGAAUGCAUCGGUGUUUCUUCAGUGGGAUGGCGUUUCUCUUUGCAGGUCAGAUUGUCCCUUCAGUGUAUUUGAUUGCAACACAGAGAACACUUUUAAGAACACAAUCUUUAAUUUCACUUCUUUUGAGGCCCUUUUAUUCUACACAGUUCGCCAUGCACAAUGGAGGAAGCGAAGCUGAAGGAAAAUACUUCCUCUUGGGCCCUGCAAGAUUCACCUUUGUGAAUUUUAUCCUGAUAUAUUUUUUUAAAAUAUAAAUGUAUUUCAAAUUUUACUGAUUAAGCAGACUGUUUCACUUGGUAAUGUUAUAUUCUACGUUGGUGUCUAGAUCCUGUCAAAAUUGCCUUUAUUUACGAAUAUGUACCUUUUCUUGUUUCUAUAAACAUCUUUUCAGAGUUGACAAUUUUUUUUAAAAUGUGGUAUGGUAGUCUUGAAAAACAAUGGUUUUUCUCAUAUUAUGUGUUUUAUGUGUUCUCACUAAUAUCCAGUAUUCAAGAAUGU